UAGGGAAUCUUCGGCAAUGGGGGGAACCCUGACCGAGCAACGCCGCGUGAGUGAAGAAGGUUUUCGGAUCGUAAAGCUCUGUUGUUAAGGAAGAACGAGUGUGAGAAUGGAAAGUUCAUGCUGUGACGGUACUUAACCAGAAAGGGACGGCUAACUACGUGCCAGCAGCCGCGGUAAUACGUAGGUCCCGAGCGUUGUCCGGAUUUAUUGGGCGUAAAGCGAGCGCAGGCGGUUAGAAAAGUCUGAAGUGAAAGGCAGUGGCUCAACCAUUGUAGGCUUUGGAAACUGUUUAACUUGAGUGCAGAAGGGGAGAGUGGAAUUCCAUGUGUAGCGGUGAAAUGGGUAGAUAUAUGGGGGAACACCGGUGGCGAAAGCGGCUCUCUGGGCUGUAACUGACGCUGAGGCUCGAAAGCGUGGGGAGCGAACAGG
rnacentral:rRNA from 1 species